rnacentral:rRNA from 1 species
GGUGGAUUAGUGGCGAACGGGUGAGUAACACGUGGGCAAUCUGCCCUGCACUCUGGGACAAGCCCUGGAAACGGGGUCUAAUACCGGAUGACACUUUCUCUCGCAUGGGAGAAGGUUGAAAGCUCCGGCGGUGCAGGAUGAGCCCGCGGCCUAUCAGCUAGUUGGUGAGGUAGAAGCUCACCAAGGCGACGACGGGUAGCCGGCCUGAGAGGGCGACCGGCCACACUGGGACUGAGACACGGCCCAGACUCCUACGGGAGGCAGCAGUGGGGAAUAUUGCACAAUGGGCGAAAGCCUGAUGCAGCGACGCCGCGUGAGGGAUGACGGCCUUCGGGUUGUAAACCUCUUUCAGCAGGGAAGAAGCGCAAGUGACGGUACCUGCAGAAGAAGCGCCGGCUAACUACGUGCCAGCAGCCGCGGUAAUACGUAGGGCGCAAGCGUUGUCCGGAAUUAUUGGGCGUAAAGAGCUCGUAGGCGGCUUGUCACGUCGGUUGUGAAAGCCCGGGGCUUAACCCCGGGUCUGCAGUCGAUACGGGCAGGCUAGAGUGUGGUAGGGGAGAUCGGAAUUCCUGGUGUAGCGGUGAAAUGCGCAGAUAUCAGGAGGAACACCGGUGGCGAAGGCGGAUCUCUGGGCCAUUACUGACGCUGAGGAGCGAAAGCGUGGGGAGCGAACAGGAUUAGAUACCCUGGUAGUCCACGCCGUAAACGGUGGGAACUAGGUGUUGGCGACAUUCCACGUCGUCGGUGCCGC